CAUGCAAGUCGAGGGGCAGCAUGGUCUUAGCCUGCUAAGGCCGAUGGCGACCGGCGCACGGGUGAGUAACACGUAUCCAACCUGCCGUCUACUCUUGGACAGCCUUCUGAAAGGAAGAUUAAUACAAGAUGGCAUCAUGAGUCCGCAUGUUCACAUGAUUAAAGGUAUUCCGGUAGACGAUGGGGAUGCGUUCUAUUAGAUAGUAGGCGGGGUAACGGCCCACCUAGUCUUCGAUGGAUAGGGGUUCUGAGAGGAAGGUCCCCCACAUUGGAACUGAGACACGGUCCAAACUCCUACGGGAGGCAGCAGUGAGGAAUAUUGGUCAAUGGGCGAGAGCCUGAACCAGCCAAGUAGCGUGAAGGAUGACUGCCCUAUGGGUUGUAAACUUCUUUUAUAAAGGAAUAAAGUCGGGUAUGCAUACCCGUUUGCAUGUACUUUAUGAAUAAGGAUCGGCUAACUCCGUGCCAGCAGCCGCGGUAAUACGGAGGAUCCGAGCGUUAUCCGGAUUUAUUGGGUUUAAAGGGAGCGUAGAUGGAUGUUUAAGUCAGUUGUGAAAGUUUGCGGCUCAACCGUAAAAUUGCAGUUGAUACUGGAUAUCUUGAGUGCAGUUGAGGCAGGCGGAAUUCGUGGUGUAGCGGUGAAAUGCUUAGAUAUCACGAAGAACUCCGAUUGCGAAGGCAGCCUGCUAAGCUGCAACUGACAUUGAGGCUCGAAAGUGUGGGUAUCAAACAGGAUUAGAUACCCUGGUAGUCCACACGG
rnacentral:rRNA from 1 species